CUCUAAUACUUUCUGGUAAUAAAAUAUAUCAAUUUAAGCUUUAACAACUUGUUACGUGUACUUCAUGAUUCUACCUUAUCACAAAUGCCACAAACACUUGGUGAGCAUCAUAGCCUUAAUUCAAAUGCAUUAACACCAAAUUCACCACAAAUAAUGAGCCAAAUGUUUCAGCCGGCAGAGAGAAAUAGUUCAAAACAAUUAAAAUAAACUGAAAGAAUAAACAUUCGAAAUUUAUGAACUCCACACGUACGCGGCGAGACGAGUUGAUUUCGGCCAAACAAACAUGAACGCGAGUGUGAGUGUGAACGUGAGCAAAAUGCACUUGAUUUAGGCCGCAAAGCAGCAGCUAUACUUUUCAAAGGAAGCUUCAUAGAAUUUUUGGUGGUUGCUGUUUGGAUUUAAACAUAUGUUUCAUCUUACGGAGAAGGCCGGAAACACCGCAGCAGUGGGGAACGUUUUUAGCGCACAAUUUGUAGAACAAUGCAUUUUAUUUAGAAAUUUACAAAAAAAAAACAUAAAUUUGAGAAGAAUAUAAUAAAUAUUGAAUUCAGAAUUUAUUAGGCCGCCAUAGUGGAAAAAAAGUUGUAAAUAAAAUUUUCGAUGAAAACCAGGUUGAGUGCUACAAUUAAUGACUGUUUAUUCCAGCAAGAAGCGGGAAUGCGAAAGUGCUUAGAAGAAAUGUAGUGCUCUCGAGUUUAUAUUUUGGAUAACAGUCUUCAAUUUGGCUUCAACCUUUCCAGAAUUACACGAAAUUAAUAAAAUUGAAGACUACAGUUGUCGCCAUUGAGAAAGCUGUAAAGAAACAUGAAAUAAUAUUUCUUUAUGGUUUAAUAUUUAUGAACAACUCGAGUUUAUUAUUUUAUAUUUCAGAAAA